CGGUGAUUGUGAGAUGGGGGAUUGAUGGUUCGUGUUUGGGGAGGGACCGGGCCGGAUGAUACUUUGGAAGAAGAUGCAAGGCUAUGCAUGACGGUGAAGGCAGGUAGAACAAUCGACGGCUGCAGAGGCGGCAUAUGUUGCAGAGGCCUCGUGCUAGACCAGUAGCUUCUCUGGCAGCGGUGAUUUGAAGCAGGAUUUUUGCAGGUUUUUCUUAAAGGCUUUUACACUUUGAGCACAAUGCAAUUGGUGGUUAUGAUUUAGCAUUACAGAUUUAAAUUGGAGACUUGUUUCCUGAUAUAGUAUCACAGCAGGAAAUUGGACUUCAACAGCGGGAAAUCUAGGUGCUCUCCAGAUGCUUGUUUGGAAUCUUUGAACUUUCAUUGGCAAUUGCACUUUAACAGCAAGUAGUCAGAAACCUUGUGUAAUAAAUGUUUGUGGCGGAAUUGUUGCUGAACCAGCUGCUAAUUUGGACUUUAAUUGAGACCCAGAUAGUAGAAAGGUUGAUGCCGAGUCAGUGAAACUCUCAGCUGCAGUAUUGUCAAGCGACCAGGCGAAUGUCAAUAGCAGUGGGACCCAAUAGCUUCCCCUCAAGGAAGAAGAAGAUUAAAAAGGUCUCUGAAACUCUUUUCAAAUGGCAACUAAGAAAUGUGUUGCCUCUCAUUGGCUUCCAUGAGCCCCUCCUGGUUUUCUGGUGUAAACAAAUAAGUAAGCUCCUGAUGUUGCUGAAGGCCACCAUACCAAAAUAAGCAACAGAUUGGAGCUACCAUGGAGAUCUAAUCUCUUUAGUGACAUACUUGGAAGCCUAAUUAGAAGUUGGAAGGGGAGAAAUGAGGCUAAUGUCCAGCUUCAAAGAUAAUGGUUUUAAUUCUGUUAUCGUGUUCAUUAUUGAAGUGGUGAAAGGGAAGAGCAGUAGACACAAGAAGAUGAUGAGCUUGCUGUUUUUAUUCAUCAGGGUAAAUGACUCUUGAGAGAAUUCCUGAAACUUUUGAGUCUACGAGUUUGAAAGAUGAUGAGCUUGCUGUUUUUAUUCGUCAGAGUAAAUGACUCUUGAGAGAAUUCCUGAAACUUUUGAGUCUUUACGAGUUUGAAAGAUGAUGAGCGUGCUGUUUUUAUUCGUCAGAGUAAAUGACUCUUGAGAGAAUUCCUGAAACUUUGAGUCUUAAUAAGUUUGAACAUACUUGCUCACAAAUGCUUCUUGUGCCUUGUGUGGGUGUGUGCGCUGUAAGAGUAUCAGAGUUGAAUGGCUGUAGAACAGGAGUGGGGUUGAUGAAGCUGCUGAAAUAUCAGAAUCAAAUGCUGGAGUCAGCAGGGAUGCAGUGGAAGUAGGGAAGGUUCGAAGAGAGUUAGGUUUGUUUGUUGGUAGUUAAUGAUGUGGGUCCAUUAUAUUGACUGUAAAUGCUGAGUAGGAUUAGUGUAAUCCGAAUCAGCAAAUAGAUUGAAUCUUAGCCACAGGAUAUUAAUAACUUUGUAGGAUCCAUGAGAUGAAAUGAUCUCGGUCAUUGGUUUUGUUCCUAAUCUUUGAAUCGGGGCCAUUGGUUGUAAGAUUUAAAUACCAACUGUUCAAUGGAGGGAAACAUAAGUGAAUGUUAAUGUUAAUCUUUCUCCUCA